GGAGACUUCCCUGUCCCAGGAAGGGCUUAUGAGUGAUAUAAUGAUCUCCCCACACUGAGAUCAGCUUCCCCUGGACCAGCUGUCAGAAGAGGCCGGAGGGCUCCAGUAGGAAGCUGUUUGCUGCUCUGGGCAGGCUCCUGCCCUGCAGGCUGGAGAGGCAGGUGCCCAGCAGGGAGGGGAGAAGCAGCAGAGCAGAGGUGCUCUCGGUUGCAGACCUUUGCAGAAGCUGGGCUUGUGCUUGAUUGGGGAAGGAGGAAAUCUUGGUUCUGGGGCCUGAGGGCACAGUGGGGCAGGGAGAGGCCCAGGUCUGGCACAUGGUUCCCAAGGCUUUGGGGAGUGACUCUGCCUGUUAAUCUGGGAAUGAGUCCUUCGGUAACCCAGGAAAGAUGGGCGGUGGUGCCAGGCUGAGGGCCAAUGCUGGCUGCAUGGGGGCUACAGCCUGGAGCCCCUGGCACAGCCUGGUCCUGGGAGGCUGCUGCCCCUGUGCCCAGGGCAGCCACUGCCCUUGAAAGGUCCGGCAGGAAGGGGCCAGGACAGUGAGAGGAUUUAGGAUAUUCUGUCUUACCCAAAGUCCCAGCUGCUCUCUCCUCCCAGACAGUGCCUUGGCUUGGUCCUGGGACAUGUACGGAGCAUCUCUUUUCCCUGCCUCAAGCUCUGGCUCCUGAAUCCUUUUCUUUGUCCCUGUCCUAGAGAAAGCCAGUGACUAUAGAAAAUCCCCUUCCCCUCAUGGCCCCUGUGCCCGUCAGCUUACCUUUAGCUCCCAGGGCUGUCCAAGGGGAGCAAGCAGGAAAGGAGGACCCACCUGCCCUGCCACCCACCAUGGCUCUUACUGCCCCGCUGCUGCUGUCCUGCCUGAGCCCAGCCAGGAGGGGUGGUGGCAGCAGCUCUGUGUCGUUUCCCUUCCCUGCUGGGUGGGAGAAGGUGCAGAACCAGGGAUUUGGGGGUGCCAGGGCAGGGCAGACCUGAUCCAGGGUGCAGGGAGGUGGUGGCAUUCAUGUAACCAAAGAUUUCUCCUGGGUUUUUCAAAUUCUUGAUGAAAUACAGAAGCAGGAAAGAAGGUCCUGAACGAUUGGUGCGGAUGUGAGGGCCUAGCAGGACCUGAGGUGGUAGAGGAGAGAUUCCCUCCUCUCUGGUGCCCACAAGCAGGGUUUCUUUGGAAGCCAAAGGAGCUGAGAGAAAGGGGAAUGGGGGAGGAGAGCUGUGUGCUUCCCCUCAAGCCUUUUGGAAAUGUCCUUGCAGCAGCGCAUGUUUCAGAGCUUGGGUUCAGGCCCAGGCUUGAGAUUCUGCUGUUUUGAUUGGUGGAGUGCAUCCACCAAUCAGGAAGCAGCAAGAGCAAUGAAGCCAUGCCCCUGUCCAGAAUGGAGGGUAGAAGAGGUGAACCGGACCUGAUUGGAGACUGCAGCACUGUCCGGUCGGGAAGAGUUCAGGGUGGGAGCCGUGGAGAAUAUGAAAGGAGCUGCGCGCCCGGCAGAGGGAGAUGGCGGAGAAGGGAGAAGAGCCGGGCGUAGAGCGGAGGAGAGCGGCUCGGCAGGUGAAGCCGGAGCCCAGGAGAGUCCCUGAGGAUGUCCAUCAGCAGGGAGCUGCAGACCGCCCCAGCAAAGCAGCUCAGUGCAGACGAUGCUGCCCAGAGGGUCGAGGAGCAGACGGAGUACCGGUGCUGCACAAGGCUGCCCGGGCCUCCAACCCCUAGCACAAGGUGAAGCGCCCACUACACAGAGUGGUGAACGUGGCCCUAAGCCAGGCCGGUGGCAGCAGAGUUGGGCGCAGGAAAGCCUGGCAGGGAACCUUGCUCGACCUGCAGAAUGGGAGGCAACCCUGCGGGCCUGUGGAGUGGACUUGGACUAUUGUGCUGCUCCCCCUUUGGGCAGGCUGGGCUGGACAUGCCACAAGGGCCCAAGGGAAUGAGAAGCCCCACUGCCACGGCCGUUCACAGCGAUGAGGAUCCCAAACACCCUAUGAUGGGGCUUCUGUGAGCCCUUUCCCAGGAGGCUGCCAGAUCCAGUUCCAAUAGACGCUACCGCUGAUGGAGUAGCCUGUGACAGUGCAGGUCAGGGUGAGGGUCUCUGCAGGCUUCACCACCCCUGGGCCAGACUCAACCAGCUGCACAGCAGAGAGCACACCUAAAGAAAAGAGAAAGGUGAAGAAGCAGGUCCAGGGAGGAAGCCCCAGCGCUCUGGCUUCCCACCACCCUUCCCCACAACCUACAUGGGAGAGAAGAGAGAAGGAAGAGGAAGAGAAAUAAGGAGCUCAUUUCUGUUGCCCUAUAACAAGGGGGAC